rnacentral:rRNA from 1 species
AUUGCCUCAGUAACGGCGAGUGAAGCGGCAACAGCUCAAAUUUGAAAUCUGGCCCUAGGCCCGAGUUGUAAUUUGCAGAGGAUGCUUUUGACAAGGUGCCUUCCGAGUUCCCUGGAACGGGACGCCAUAGAGGGUGAGAGCCCCGUCUGGUCGGACACCGAGUCUCUGUAAAGCUCCUUCGACGAGUCGAGUAGUUUGGGAAUGCUGCUCAAAAUGGGAGGUAUAUGUCUUCUAAAGCUAAAUACCGGCCAGAGACCGAUAGCGCACAAGUAGAGUGAUCGAAAGAUGAAAAGCACUUUGAAAAGAGAGUUAAACAGCACGUGAAAUUGUUGAAAGGGAAGCGUUUAUGACCAGACUUGGCCCGGUUGAUCAUCCAGCGUUCUCGCUGGUGCACUCUGCCGGUCCAGGCCAGCAUCAGUUCGCCUUGGGGGAUAAAGGUUUCGGGAAUGUGGCUCCUCCGGGAGUGUUAUAGCCCGUUGCGUAAUACCCUGCGGUGGACUGAGGUCCGCGCUUCUGCAAGGAUGCUGGCGUAAUGGUCAUCAACGACCCGUCUUGAAACACGGACCAAGGAGUCGUCUUCGUAUGCGAGUGUUCGGGUGUAAAACCCCUACGCGUAAUGAAAGUGAACGCAGGUGAGAGCUUCGGCGCAUCAUCGACCGAUCCUGAUGUUCUCGGAUGGAUUUGAGUAAGAGCAUACGGGGCCGGACCCGAAAGAAGGUGAACUAUGCCUGUAUAGGGUGAAGCCAGAGGAAACUCUGGUGGAGGCUCGCAGCGGUUCUGACGUGCAAAUCGAUCGUCAAAUAUGGGCAUGGGGGCGAAAGACUAAU